GAUGAACGCUGGCGGCGUGCCUAAUACAUGCAAGUCGAGCGAAUGGAUUGAGAGCUUGCUCUUAUGAAGUUAGCGGCGGACGGGUGAGUAACACGUGGGUAACCUGCCCAUAAGACUGGGAUAACUCCGGGAAACCGGGGCUAAUACCGGAUAACAUUUUGAAACGCAUGGUUCGAAAUUGAAAGGCGGCUUCGGCUGUCACUUAUGGAUGGACCCGGGUCGCAUUAGCUAGUUGGUGAGGUAACGGCUCACCAAGGCAACGAUGCGUAGCCAACCUGAGAGGGUGAUCGGCCACACUGGGACUGAGACACGGCCCAGACUCCUACGGGAGGCAGCAGUAGGGAAUCUUCCGCAAUGGACGAAAGUCUGACGGAGCAACGCCGCGUGAGUGAUGAAGGCUUUCGGGCCGUAAAACUCUGUUGUUAGGGAAGAACAAGUGCUAGUUGAAUAAGCUGGCACCUUGACGGUACCUAACCAGAAAGCCACGGCUAACUACGUGCCAGCCGCCGCGGUAA
rnacentral:rRNA from 1 species